UGUCUCAGUUGUUAAAGGCCAGUCCUCUUCCCAGCACUGAAGAACCCAGUAUACUAAAUAACCAGUUCUCACUCAGUUCAGAGAGUCGAAGCUGUCUCAACCACUUUGCCUGGCUUCUGGUGCUGCAAAGAGCAUCAUAUGACUCUGGCCCCCGUUGUUACUACCCUAAUUGCUAUUCCUUAUUAAGCAGCUAUUCAUGCAUUAUACAUACAUCACCUCUAAUCUUAUAAGGUAAACAUUAUCACCUGUCAUUUUACAGAGGAGGAAGCGCAAUGAGAGAUUAAGGGGUGUGCCUGUGGUCACAGCUAGGAAGAGGCAUGGCCGGUAUUCCAUCCGCAGCCUUAGGAUCUCUGCUUUUCAGCCAGGAUCAAAACUUUGGGGAAAACAGUUGGUCACCUGGUCUCUUUUUAAUAAUGCUCAGGACAAAUGAAUCAAGCAUUUAAACUAAAAAAAGAAGAAAGCAAACUUAGGAGACUUAGAAGAUUCUCUUGGCAAUAAUUCUAUAAACCUAAAAGUAUUCUGAAAUUAGAAGUUUAUUAGAGAGAUAGCCGGGCACGGUGGCUC
rnacentral:lncRNA from 1 species